rnacentral:rRNA from 1 species
GAUGAACGCUGGCGGCGUGCUUAACACAUGCAAGUCGAACGGAAAGGCCCAAGCUUGCUUGGGUGCUCGAGUGGCGAACGGGUGAGUAACACGUGGGUGAUCUGCCCUUCACUUUGGGAUAAGCCUGGGAAACUGGGUCUAAUACCGGAUAGGACCUUCUUUUAGUGUCGGUGGUUGAAAGUUUUUCGGUGUUGGGUGAGCUCGUGGCCUAUCAGCUUGUUGGUGGGGUAAUGGCUUACCAAGCCGUCGACGGGGAGCCGGCCUGGGAGGGUGGACGGCCACAUUGGGACUGAGAUGCGGCCCAGGUAGCUAAGGGAGGGAACAGGGGGGAAUAUUGAACAAUGGGCGCAAGGCUGGUGCAGCGACGCCGCGUGGGGGAUGACGGCCUUCGGGUUGUAAAAUCCUUUCGCCAGGGACGAAGCGUUUUGUGACGGUACUUGGAGAAGAAGCACCGGCUAACUACGUG